GACGAACGCUGGCGGCGUGCUUGACACAUGCAAGUUGAACGAUGAAAGAGGAGCUCGCUCCCUUGGAUUAGUGGCGAACGGGUGAGUAACACGUUAGCAAUCUGCCCCUGACUCCGGAAUAACUACGGGAAACUGUAGCUAAUACCGGAUAUGCGCCGAAAAGGCAUCUGUAUCGGUGGGAAAGAAUUUCGGUCAGGGAUGAGCUCGCGGCCUAUCAGCCUGUUGGUGAGGUAACGGCUCACCAAGGCGACGACGGGUAGCCGGCCUGAGAGGGUGACCGGCCACAUUGGGACUGAGAAACGGCCCCGACUCCUACUGGAGGCAGCAGUGGGGAUGAUUGCACAAUGAUCGCAAGCCUGAUGCAGCAACGCCGCGUAAGGGAUGACGGCCUUCGUGUUGUAAACCUCUUUUAGCAGAGAAGAAUCGAAAGUGAGGGUACAUGCAGAAAAGGCGAGGGCUAACUACGUG
rnacentral:rRNA from 1 species